GGGAUUGCCUCAGUAACGGCGAGUGAAGCGGCAACAGCUCAAAUUUGAAAUCUGGCUCCUUCGGGGUCCGAAUUGUAAUUUGUAGAGAGUGCUUCGGGCGAGACCUCGGUCUAAGUCCAUUGGAACAUGGUGUCAUAGAGGGUGAGAAUCCCGUAUGCGACCGUGGCUCGAGCCCAUGUGAAGCCUCUUCGACGAGUCGAGUUGUUUGGGAAUGCAGCUCAAAAUGGGUGGUAAAUUUCAUCUAAAGCUAAAUACUGGCUGGAGACCGAUAGCGCACAAGUAGAGUGAUCGAAAGAUGAAAAGCACUUUGGAAAGAGAGUCAAACAGUACGUGAAAUUGUUGAAAGGGAAGCGCUUGCAACCAGACCUGCCCGUAGGCGAUCAGCCGCUGUUCUCAGCGGUGUACUCGCUCUGCGAUCAGGCCAGCAUCGGUUUCGGCGGUCGGAUAAAGGCCUUGGGAAUGUAGCUUCCCUUCGGGGGAGUCUUAUAGCCCUCGGUGUAAUGCGGCCAGCUGGGACCGAGGACCGCGCUUCGGCUAGGAUGCUGGCGUAAUGGUUGUAAGCGACCCGUCUUGAAACACGGACCAAGGAGUCUAACAUCUAUGCGAGUGUUUGGGUGUCAAACCCAUACGCGGAAUGAAAGUGAACGGAGGUGAGAACCCUUAAGGGCGCAUCAUCGACCGAUCCAGAUGUCUUCGGAUGGAUUUGAGUAUGAGCAUAGCUGUUGGGACCCGAAAGAUGGUGAACUAUGCCUGAAUAGGGUGAAGCCAGAGGAAACUCUGGUGGAGGCUCGCAGCGGUUCUGACGUGCAAAUCGAUCGUCAAAUUUGGGUAUAGGGGCGAAAGACUAAUCGAACCA
rnacentral:rRNA from 2 species